GUAAAGAUGUGAAGAGAAAUUAACUGGACCCUAUUCCCAUCUAUGUAUUGGCAUUACUCCUGCCUUUAAUGAAUCAUAUUUUGAGCAUUCGAUUGUAAUGACUUCAACAUAAGAUGGAAAUUGGCACUGGUAUUUGCUAGGGUAGCAUAAUGAAGCUCCAGGCAUGCCCAUUAGCUUUCAGGAAAAACUUGAAGCUGGUAUAAACCAUGCUGAUCUACUUGCCUAUUGUUACUGGGUCCCCUAUUCGCUGCUGCAACUUUGAUCUGCUCUGAUACCGUGUAAAUUUUCAACACAAAAGUUUGAACUAUUGAUUGGAGGGACUCACAAAGAUAUGAGGG